CGCCCGCAGGCCCCGGCUGCGCUGCAGGGCCGCGGCUCCCGGGGCCGUCGGUCCUUGCUGCUUUGGGAACGGCGACCUCCUGCUUCCCGGCGCUGGCCUGCUGAAACGCUGCAAGACCCUGAACUCCAGUUGUAUGAAGAGAGGGGCAGGCAGAGCCAGUGGUGUCAAAAACCCUCACGAUGGUGAAGGCUGCAAGAUUCUGACUUCUGGUAUAAGGCAAACAGCUCCUGCUCUGCCUGCAGUUUGGCAACUACAG